UCUGCUGCGGAGACAGCUUGCGGGAGCAGAGGCUUGAGGUUGAAGAGACAUGCAGGCCUUUGCAGCCCAUAUGAGAAUUUGACUUGGUCUAAAAGCGCUGGGAAGCCACUGAAGAGAAGAUUUGAACCUAUAAAGACAAGUGUGGUUGCUGUGAAGUGAGAGGAUCAAAAGAGGCAAAGCGGAAGUGGGGAGCUGGGAGACCACUGCAGGAAGUGGAGGAGAGGAGGGCCGUCUGCAGACGUCAAGUGCCCUGGUGAUUGACGUGGGCUGGAAGAGAGGAAAAGCGGAGGACAUUCAGAUGUGUGGCAAAAGCCCUCAGGUGGUGGUGGUGCCAUCUCCUCGGAGCAAACACUAAAGAAAAACCAGCGACCCCUGGAGGCUGCGCGGGAAGCCACGGUUCCGGAGCUUGUGCACAGGGGUGCCUGCUGGACAUUCCUGCUUCUGGAGCCACCAGCGGGGCCUGAUCCUUUCCUGACUGAACCCCCUGCUGUUGACUCUGACGGUGGCACAAAAGAAGACUACUUUUCCCAGA